rnacentral:misc_RNA from 1 species
GGCUAGAGGAUAAUUUUAGCGGCAAUUACCGCAUCCAAUUGGAAGUUGAAUAGACGAAAACGACCUUAGACGUCGUAAAAGAGACGACACGCUCGCUGGAAAACAAGGACCGUUCCCUGUGAAUUAGAAAAGCUACCGAAUGAAAUUCGACUGCAGUGAGAAAACGUUGGGGCCAAAAGCGAGCUUUCUUCCUUUUAUCUAACCCAGGGCCAAGUCAUGGAGGGUCCCCUUCAAAUUGGAUUAGGCUCGGCACAAAAGAGCAUAAAGAAGGACGAUCAAACAAUAUGGCAACAACGGGACCGGAAGAGGCCUGGCCGGAUGUCCAGGAAUUCGAGCAGCGAAUCUUUGCUAAUUCGUGCAGGAAAAAAUCCUUCGAACCAGUGGGUGGAGAAUCUCUCUUGAUCACGCCGAAAAAUUGUCCACGAAAGGAGGAGAAAUCGGAUUGAAGGGAACCGACGAGGAAACGAUGUGCCCGUACCAGUCUGGGGAACAAAGUGGAUAAAGGGUGGCACAUAAACGAGAACGGAAGCUCUGGAAAUCCUGCAGGUGUAUAGAGUGAAA